UACGUAGGUGGCAAGCGUUGUCCGGAUUUACUGGGCGUAAAGAGCGCGCAGGCGGUCGUGCAAGUCGCGUGUGAAAGCCCCCGGCUCAACUGGGGAGGGUCACGCGAUACUGCUCGACUCGAAGGCAGGAGAGGGAAGUGGAAUUCCCGGUGUAGUGGUGAAAUGCGUAGAUAUCGGGAGGAACACCGGUGGCGAAGGCGGUUCUCUGGGCCUGUACUGACGCUGAGGAACGAAAGCGUGGGGAGCGAACAGG
rnacentral:rRNA from 1 species